AGAUGCCUUAGAAUCCCAGAACUGUAGGACCACAGAAUGGCCUGCAUUGGAAGGGACCUCAAAGCCCACAUGGUCCCAGUCCGUGCCAUGGGCAGGGCUGCCCCCCACCAGCUCAGCUGCCCAGGGCCCCAUCCAACCUGGCCUUGAGCGCCUCCAGCGAUGGGGCACCACAGCUUCUCUGGGCAGCUGUGCCAGCGCCUCACUGCCCUCUUAGUGAAAAAUUUCCACCUGUCAUCUAAUCUAAAUCUAAUCUAAAUCUCUCCUCUUUCAGUUUAGCUCUGCCACAAGACUCCUGUAGCUGUUACUUCCACUCAAUUGGAGGUGACUGUCCAAUUGUAUGUAGCAACGAGGUAUGUCCACCAGAUGGCUCUACUUCAAGGAGUAAUACAAUUCUGAUAACAGGAGAUUCCGAAGAGGAUACGGUGUGAGACACUGUAGUGAUAUCAGUAAAACCCAAACGGUUUAUUUGGAUCUCUAAUGGUAACCCUGAC
ensembl:lncRNA